GACGAACGCUGGCGGCGUGCUUAACACAUGCAAGUCGAACGGAAAGGCCCUGCUUUUGUGGGGUGCUCGAGUGGCGAACGGGUGAGUAACACGUGAGUAACCUGCCCUUGACUUUGGGAUAACUUCAGGAAACUGGGGCUAAUACCGGAUAGGAGCUCCUGCUGCAUGGUGGGGGUUGGAAAGUUUCGGCGGUUGGGGAUGGACUCGCGGCUUAUCAGCUUGUUGGUGGGGUAGUGGCUUACCAAGGCUUUGACGGGUAGCCGGCCUGAGAGGGUGACCGGCCACAUUGGGACUGAAAGACGGCCCAGACUCGUACGGGGGGCAGCAGUGGGGAAUAUUGCACAAUGGGCGGAAGCCUGAUGCAGCAACGCCGCGUGCGGGAUGACGGCCUUCGGGUUGUAAACCGCUUUCGCCUGUGACGAAGCGUGAGUGACGGUAAUGGGUAAAGAAGCACCGGCUAACUACGUG
rnacentral:rRNA from 1 species